AAUAAGUGCAGUUUUAUACUAUUCACAUUCAAUGUUGACCGUUCGUCUUAUUUGAAAAUUUUUUAUGAUUAGUAUUUUUAUUGCUAUUAGAUGAUAAAACAUAAAUAGUACUUUAUGUGUGACUAAAUAUUUUUAAUUUUUUCAUAAAUUUUUUAAAUAAAACGAAUGGUCAAACGUUAGGCACGAAUAUCUAUGGCUGCACUUAUU
rfam:Oryza sativa (indica cultivar-group) chromosome 11, whole genome shotgun sequence.